rnacentral:rRNA from 1 species
AAACCAGCUCCUCGAGGGGUCCCCACGCAUACUGGGCCUAAAGCGUCCGUAGCCGGCCCCGCAAGUCCUCGGUUAAAUCCACCGGAAGACCGGUGGGCUGCCGGGGAUACUGCGGGGCUAGGGAGCGGAAGGGGCCGGGGGUAUUCCGGGGGGAGCGGUAAAAUGCGUAGAUCCCCGGAGGACCACCGGUGGCGAAGGCGCCCGGCUGGAACGCGUCCGACGGUGAGGGACGAAAGCUGGGGGAGCAAACCGAAUUAGAAACCCUAGUAGUCC